rnacentral:tRNA from 1 species
UGGCUCAGUUGGUAGGGCAUGGUGUUUGCAACGCCAGGGUUGUGGGUUUGAUUCCCAC